UGUGUGUGUGUGUGUGUGUGUGUAUCUGUGUGUCAGAUAUAUACACACAGACACACUGGCACAUACAAACACAGAUAUACACACACCUUGACACACACAUACAUACACCCACACACACACACA